rnacentral:rRNA from 1 species
CGUACUGAGACACGGACCAGACUCCUACGGGAGGCAGCAGUGAGGAAUAUUGGUCAAUGGGCGCAAGCCUGAACCAGCCAUGCCGCGUGCAGGAAGACGGUCCUAUGGAUUGUAAACUGCUUUUAUACGGGAAGAAACCCUCCCACGUGUGGGAGAUUGACGGUACUGUAGGAAUAAGGAUCGGCUAACUCCGUGCCAGCAGCCGCGGUAAUACGGAGGAUCCAAGCGUUAUCCGGAAUCAUUGGGUUUAAAGGGUCCGUAGGCGGUCUUAUAAGUCAGUGGUGAAAUCCCAUCGCUCAACGAUGGAACUGCCAUUGAUACUGUAAGACUUGAAUACUUAGGAAGUAACUAGAAUAUGUAGUGUAGCGGUGAAAUGCUUAGAUAUUACAUGGAAUACCAAUUGCGAAGGCAGGUUACUACUAAGUGAUUGACGCUGAUGGACGAAAGCGUGGGGAGCGAACAGGAUUAGAUACCCUGGUAGUCCACGCCGUAAACGAUGGAUACUAGCUGUUCGGAGCAAUCUGAGUGGCUAAGCGAAAGUGAUAAGUAUCCCACCUGGGGAGUACGCACGCAAGUGUGAAACUCAAAGGAAUUGACGG